rnacentral:rRNA from 1 species
CAUGCAUGUCUCAGUACAAACCAAAUUAAGGUGAAACCGCAAAAGGCUCAUUAAAUCAGUUAUGGUUCCUUAGAUCGUACCCACAUUACUUGGAUAACUGUGGUAAUUCUAGAGCUAAUACAUGAAUACAGAGCUUCGACCGGAGACGGAAGAAGCGCUUUUAUUAGAUCAAAACCAAUCGGUGGCGGUUUAUUACCGUCAUCGUACAAUUUGGUGACUCUGAAUAACUUUAUGCUGAUCGCACGGUCUUGCACCGGCGACGCAUCUUUCAAAUGUCUGCCUUAUCAACUGUCGAUGGUAGGUUCUGCGCCUACCAUGGUUGUAACGGGUAACGGGGAAUCAGGGUUCGAUUCCGGAGAGGGAGCCUGAGAAACGGCUACCACAUCCAAGGAAGGCAGCAGGCGCGCAAAUUACCCACUCCCGGCACGGGGAGGUAGUGACGAAAAAUAACGAUACGGGACUCAUCCGAGGCCCCGUAAUCGGAAUGAGUACACUCUAAACCCUUUAACGAGGAUCAAUUGGAGGGCAAGUCUGGUGCCAGCAGCCGCGGUAAUUCCAGCUCCAAUAGCGUAUAUUAAAGUUGUUGCGGUUAAAAAGCUCGUAGUCGAAUCUGUGUCCCGCUCCGCCGGUUCAUCGUUCGCGGUGUUAACUGGCGUGUUGUGGGACGUCCUGUCGGUGGGCUUAGCUCGCAAGGGCGGCCCGACUCAAUCCCGCCGCGGUGCUCUUCAUUGAGUGUCGAGGUGGGCCGGCACUUUUACUUUGAACAAAUUAGAGUGCUUAAAGCAGGCUAAAAUUUCGCCUGAAUAUUGUGUGCAUGGAAUAAUGGAAUAGGACCUCGGUUCUAUUUUGUUGGUUUUCGGAACCCCGAGGUAAUGAUUAAUAGGAACGGAUGGGGGCAUUCGUAUUGCGACGUUAGAGGUGAAAUUCUUGGAUCGUCGCAAGACGGACAGAAGCGAAAGCAUUUGCCAAAAACGUUUUCAUUGAUCAAGAACGAAAGUUAGAGGUUCGAAGGCGAUCAGAUACCGCCCUAGUUCUAACCAUAAACGAUGCCAGCUAGCGAUCCGCCGACGUUCCUCCGAUGACUCGGCGGGCAGCUUCCGGGAAACCAAAGCUUUUGGGUUCCGGGGGAAGUAUGGUUGCAAAGCUGAAACUUAAAGGAAUUGACGGAAGGGCACCACCAGGAGUGGAGCCUGCGGCUUAAUUUGACUCAACACGGGAAACCUCACCAGGCCCGGACACCGGAAGGAUUGACAGAUUGAGAGCUCUUUCUUGAUUCGGUGGGUGGUGGUGCAUGGCCGUUCUUAGUUGGUGGAGCGAUUUGUCUGGUUAAUUCCGAUAACGAACGAGACUCUAGCCUGCUAAAUAGGCGUAUUUCGACAUCCUAAAGGCUCGCCUUUCUCCAGGUUCGCUUGGUGAUUGUGCGCGGUUUUUACUGUCGGCGUACAAACAAUUCUUCUUAGAGGGACAGGCGGCUUCUAGCCGCACGAGAUUGAGCAAUAACAGGUCUGUGAUGCCCUUAGAUGUUCUGGGCCGCACGCGCGCUACACUGAAGGAAUCAGCGUGUCCUCCCUGGCCGAGCGGCCCGGGUAACCCGCUGAACCUCCUUCGUGCUAGGGAUUGGGGCUUGCAAUUGUUCCCCAUGAACGAGGAAUUCCCAGUAAGCGCGAGUCAUAAGCUCGCGUUGAUUACGUCCCUGCCCUUUGUACACACCGCCCGUCGCUACUACCGAUUGAAUGAUUUAGUGAGGUCUUCGGACUGGUACGCGGUGGCGUUUCGACGUUGCCGAUGUUGCUGGGAAGAUGACCAAACUUGAUCAUUUAGAGGAAGUAAAAGUCGUAACAAGGUUUCCGU